CCUACGGGUGGCAGCAGUGGGGGAUAUUGCACAAUGGGGGGAACCCUGAUGCAGCGACGCCGCGUGGGUGAAGAAGCGCCUCGGCGCGUAAAGCCCUGUCAGCAGGGAAGAAAAUGACGGUACCUGAAGAAGAAGCCCCGGCGAACGACGUGCCAGCAGCCGCGGUAAUACGGAGGGGGCAAGCGUGAGCCGGAUUGACUGGGGGGAAAGGGGGCGCAGCCGGCGAGGCACGCCAGGAGUGAAAGCCCGGGGCCCAACCCCGGGACUGCUCUUGGAACUGCGUGGCUGGAGUGCAGGCGGGGCCGGCGGCAUUCCUGUUGUAGCGGUUACAUGCGUAGCUAUCCGGAGGCACCCCGGUGGCGACGGCGGCCUGCUGGACUGCACCUGACGUUGAGGCCCGAACGCGUGGGGAGCAAACAGGCUUAGAUACCCCAGUAGUC
rnacentral:rRNA from 1 species